rnacentral:hammerhead_ribozyme from 1 species
AUCCAUUUGACCAGUCCUAAAUAGGACGAAACGCCUGUCUUGGAU